CCCAUGCAGAGCAAGGGGAACAACUACUCCAAGUCUCAGAAUUACUGCCUCAGAAAUUAUGGCAGCAGAAGAUUACACCAUCUUCCAGACUGUCGAGGAACAUGGUCAUCUACUCCACCAACACCAUGACCAGCUGUCUCUACUGGGUAUGACCAUGAAGGAGGUUCUCCAACGCCUCGACACCACUAGCAAGGUUCUCCAUCCCUCUGACUGAGGGCCUCCUUCUAUGGGUCGUCACAAGGAGCCAGUCCCCCAGCCUACCCAGCCGUCCACCCAGGUCAGCGAUGCCCAACUGUCCCUUCUGGAGAAGUAUUACGGCACUCCAUCAAAAUGCCGUCGCUUCCUACUCCAGUGCUCCCUCUAUUUCGCCUAUCAGACGGGAGCCCCCACCAAGAGGUCCAAGGUUGCCAUUGUCAUUUCCCUGCUGACCGGAUGGGCGUCUGAGAGAGAGGAUGAGCUGGAUUCCUGUGAGAGGUUCAGGGCGGUCUUCGAGGGAGGUGAGCGAAUUAAAUGAGCCGGUGCACCACACUCUAUUCCGCAGUGGACUGCGCAAUGCGGUCCAGACAGAACUGGCAUGUCAGGAUGAUGACAAAUCCUUGGACGCUCUCAUCGCAAUGGCCAGCCGUCUGGAUAACCUUCUUCAGGAGCGCCGGUGUCCAACUUGCCACUCACCUCCCUCCUUUGGCUGCCCUGAAGCAGAGCCUGAACCCAUGGAAGUAGGGACCACACACCUCUCCGUGGCAGAGCGGCUUCACCAGAGACAGCUGAGGCUUUGUCCCUAUUGCAGCCAGGUGGGGCAGCAGCUUCAGUGGUGGUCGGUGCAUCCCAACCAGGGGUCCACUAGAGCAGAGGAACAGCCCUGUGACCUUCUGUCUCCCAGGGUAGUCAUGAGAAUUCUGUUAUCAUUCUCCACCAAAACCUUUCUCUGGCUAGCUGUCCCUCAUGUGUCGGUUCUACAGCUUUAGUGGACUCCGGUGCCGUGGGGAACUUCAUCGACCAGGCCCUUGCCGCCUUACCUCCUCCCUGAACUUAACUUCAUGCCCGCUCUCCUCUCCUUUUCCUGUCCUGGAUAUGCAACCAUUGGAAUCCGUCACAGCACCCCUCACUGUGGGACCCAAGCACCAGGAAAUCCUUCCCUUCCUCAUCACUGCACCCGUACACAGUCGGCCUCCCAUGGCUCCAACUUCAUAACCCCACCAUCUCCUGGUCACACCCUGUGGUUCCACGGCAGUGAGUGUCCUCCAGCCCAUCAAUCGGUCCUCCCGUAUCGUUGGCCCCGUGUUUUGGGGCGGUGAAGUGGAUAUCCGCCAGGCUCGGGAACACCCUCCUGCCACCUGCCCUCCAGAGCGCAUCUACGUCCCCAUUGGGAAGGUUGUGGCGCAGACUCUGAAGAUAUCCCAUAUUUAUCGGAGUCACGUCUGUCCCCGGCAUUUUACUGCAUCUUUCUGGCACAAAGCAUUGUGGACUAAAGCAUCUUUAUAGAUCGCUUUAUUCAGGUAACAUGUUUUAAGUUAAUAAGGGGUAGGUCUAUGCUUUUAGCCAUUUUCUUUAACAAAAGCCACAAUACCCUCACACACGUAGCCAGGUGGUAAAAGCACAUAGCUGUAUUCAUGUAUAACCACUAGGUGGCACUGUCCCUUUAAGAGAUUCAUAAAUUAGGUGUGCAAGUGGUUAUGGGAUUGCGCAUGCGUAGUGUGAGAGCAUGCAGUUAAUUCAUUGUGGGUCCAACGUUACUUUAGAUGGGUAAGUAAUACUUUUUAUCUUGUACUGGAAGAUAUAAUUUUGCAUAACCUGCAAUGUAUAAGAGUUUAUGUAAUUUAUGCCAGAUGGUCAUGUUAUCCUUUGGAUACUUUCAGAUUGACAUGAGGAUGUUAGCUUCUUGCUAGCUGAAUACCAGUGCUCUCAGAACCACAUUGUGGAGUUGACGAUAACAUUAUUUGAAGCGCUAGUAAUUUUCAGAAUUACAUUUUGUUUUGUAAAGCCUCAGUGUGUUCUAUAUUGUUUCAUUUUUGAAUUGCAGCUUAUCUGUUAUGACAUUUCACCCAGUGCUGUAUGGGUGAGAUGAGGAUCUACUAUUCCAUGUGGGGUUAGGGUAUCAUGUUGACAGUGUGUUUUGUAAGUAUUCCUAAUGUUUCAUGGCAACCUGUUUUUGAUGCACAAUGUCAUUUUGUUUAUGGACAUCUUGUACCCAGAUAUUUGAAAUGUUAGAAAGUCCAUUCUAACUGGGAACGUUGUGGUCGCUGUAUUUUCUUGUUUUUCUAUAGAAAGCAGACCCACUACCGUUUAUGUAUUUCACUUUGUACUUAUUGUACUCUGUUUUUAUGCACUUUAGUAACAGAUUUAUUUCACUUGAUUGUGAUUUAGAUUCAGCCUUACUUUAUGCUGACUUCACCUUCCGGUGAUUUCCGUUUUCCAUUCUACAUUAUCAGAUUUUAAAUUUAAGCUUUGACAGAAUAAACAACCCAACAUUAGUUUGUGUCCUGUGCUGGGUUUACUUUCGCCAGGCUACACACACCCUAAAUUCGAGCCAUGGUUUUAACUUAACACACCAAGCCCUUCACUCACUGACACUGAUAUAUUUAAGGAGUGCAUAGUGACUGAAGGAAUUGGCUGACAAAAAUCUAUGGAUAGUAGACUAUAAUUCAGUCUAUCAAACAGGUAGGCCUACCUCUUCUUGAGUAGGCUCCAACACAAAGCCCUCUUGCAGUGGUGUAAGUUGUUUUGGGGGGUAUCUGUACUUUACUAUUUAUAUUUUUGCCAACUUUACUCUACUACAUUUGUAAAGAGAAUUAGCUUUUUACUCCACACAUUUUCCCUGACACCUAAAUGUACUUGUUACAUUUCGAAUGCUCAAGCAGGACAGAAUUGACACUUAUCAAUAUAACGCUUUGUCAUCCCUACUGCCUCUUACCUAGUGGACUCACAAAACACAAAUACUGUGUUUGUAAAUUGUUGGAGUGUG